CCAGGAAGUAGAGGCUGUAGUGAGCUAUGAUGAUGCUACUGUACUUCAGCUUGGGUGGCAGAGCCAGACCCUGUCUCUUUAAAAAAACAAAAAACAAAACAAAAACAAAAACAAACAAACAAAAAAAAACAGUGACUUGUUGAAGAUUGAGAUGACUCCACUAGGAAACAAAAAUGGCUGGCGAAGGGGAAGAAGACUGAGAAUAGAAUAGUGCUGCCUGGCUUUGUGUUUACAUCUUGCAUAGAGCUAUCUUCCCCUCUGCACAGAGCAGCUGUAGCUGAAGUGCUCAUGUGUACGUAUGUGACGGGACAGCGACUUGGAAGAGAAGAUACCAGCUGCGGCAUCUCAUAGUGGUGGUUUGGAGACCAAGCCAGGGCUUCAGGGAAAUACCUUUUCUACAACAUGUGUUUUGUUGCUCUUAUUCUUGUCUUGGUUGCUUGUAACAACAACAAAAAAGACCAUCUGGAGCCUAGAAGGGAAAAAUAAUGGGAAUGGAGAGGCGGUGUUAGAAUCACACCAGCAUCACUGCAUUUAUGGGAUGACCUCUUCCACUGGCCCUCACUUUUGGUUCUGGGAUUGAGAUGUGAAGUCAUGAAGCGAUUCAGAAAUGAGUCCUUGUGAAAACACUGUCUUCUGAUAGCUUCAGCGUACAGGGUCUUUUAUGAGAACAGAUCUUUCUCAUCUCUAAGCGUUGCCAAGAAAUGUCCAUGCUUCUUAUCUAGAGAAAUUAUUCCAUGUUUUAAUUAUAAAGGGUUGAGUAGAUGUUUCAGGGCUGACACUGGUCCUUGCUCAUGAAUCAAGGUCAUAACAGCUCACUCCUGGCCUUGGCCAGGGACUUAACAUUCAUUUAACAAACAUCUGCCAAACCCUCGCUAUAUUUACAGCAUGCGUUAAUUGUAGCAGGCUAGAUACAGAUAAUAUUCCAUGUAUAGUGCUUUUAAUGAUUUCUAAAGGCUUAUUCUCUUACUCAUGUGAAGAAUCUGAAAUCGGAGAAGUCAGCUUAAGUUACAUGGCUGGUAAGUCAACAAGUGAUAACUGCACCCAGUCGCAUCUUAUUCUUUUUACUGCAUCUCUGCUGAGACAAAGUCCCUACUCUCAAAUGAGUUAACUUUUAAUAGAAAAGAUAAUUUUGAUUGACUCUAACAAGCAUUUAUGAAGUAUGCUCUGGAGGUUCCAUGUUGAAACAGACUUGCCUUUAGUCUAGUUCUCAAGACAGCAGAAGUAAUCCCAUUUGUAUUUUUAUCUGUUUUGCUUAUGAUGCUUAUCACAAUUCUAAUGCAGAAAUUAUUUGGAUAGUUCUGAUCGUGGAAAAAAACAAACUCAAAGUGCUUUUUCUAGUCUCUCACUCAAUAACAAUCAACACAGAAUACUUCUGUGACCAAAUGGGGUGGGGGGAAAUUCUCCCCAUCACCAAGCAAGCAAUCAUUUCUGCAGUGGAUAACAGCCAGGUGUCCUCCAGUGUACUGUUUAACUAGAGAUAGCAUUAGAUUCCACAGGUUGGACGCUCAGCCCCCAAGAGUGCCCCGCUUCCCACCUGACACACCAGUUUAGGCCUCUGGAAUGUCUGACUGACUGGCUGUAAGUUUGGAGUCCUAUGAACCCCCUCUUUGGGUUUGAUUAAUUUGCUAGUGUGGGUCACAGAACUUGGGGAAGCAUGUUUACCCACAUAUUAUAAAGCAUACUACAAAGGAUACAAACAGCCAGAGGAAGAGCUACAUAGGGUGAGGUCAGAAGGGUCUUGAGUAUAGGAGCUUCUGUUGCUAUGGAGUUGGGGUGCACUAUCCUCCCCCGCAUGUGGAUGAGCUCUUGUUCACCAUCCUGUCUGCCUCCACAUGUUCAGCUUUCUGAAGCUGGUCCUUUUGGGUUUUUAUGGAAGCUUCAUUAUGUAAGCAUGACUGGUUAAAUCAUUGGCUAUUGGUGAUCAGCUUAACCUUCAGCCUCUCUUCCCUCCCCUCUUUCUGGGCUGGAAGCCUGAUCCUCUAAUCCUGCCUUGUUUUUUCUGGUGACCGUCUCCACCUAGAAGCUACCUAGGGCCUGCCAGCCACCAGUCAACUCAUUAGCAUGCAAAAGACAUCACUUUGGUGUUUCUAAGUAUUUUAGGAGUUGCAUGCUAGGAAACAGGAUCAAAGACUGAUUAUAUGUUUCACAGCAUGAUAGUAAUUAUUUAUUUUAUGCCUAACUCUGUUGCUAGACUGUGGGCAGGGACUUCCUCGUUGACCCCAGCAUCUCCAACACAAAAUGAAACACCUGUCACGAAACAGAUGUGUCUUUCAUCGCAAAAGCAUGUUGAAUGAAUGCGCUAUGAAGAAUAGAUGAGGUGCUGUUUUAAAGUACCAUAGGACCGUAGAUGAAGUUUACUGUGGAGGGAGGUGCUAUGAUGGGCAGAGAAACAUACAGAGAAGGAAUAUUAAGCUGGGCAACAAAGGAUGGGUAGGAGUUAACGAUGAAUGGAGUGAGGGUUGGGAUAAGGGGUGGGAUGGUUUUCUACAGUGAAUUACAGGACCAAAGCACAGUUGGGCAGAUUCCAGAUAAUGAUUUUUUUGACAGAUAGACAGGGUAUGUGAGGUUGAGGCUUAAAGUGGUUUAUUGGUACCAGGUUUUGAAGUCUUCAAUUCACUAACACAUUUGAAUUUUGUUCUUGCUAUUAUUACACACACACACACACACACACACACACACACACACGAACGAACGGGGAGAGACACACACGCACACGUGCGCAUGCGCGCGUUUAAACGCAAAGUAGAGGCGUUUCCCAGGUUCCUAACCUCCUGAAUGCAAUGCAGAUGCUUUGAGUUACCUUCCCUUCAUUGUUCCCAUGCAGCUCUGGCCUGUGAUCAGCCCAACCUGGGCCUUGGCCAGUACCAGAUAUUCUGCUGGCACAGAGAGCAAUCAGGACCAGUUUCCCUUCUUUUAAUUUCCUCCUCAGUAGAGUUGAGUGUUUCUCAAGUCCACUUCUUUUCCUCUCUCUUUCUCUGUUCAGCUUAGGCAGUCCUCCAUUCUGUCGUCUUUCUCCUAGGUGUGUGUCUUGAGAGAUAAUGCAGUGUUGGUUAAGACUGCCUGGGUUGAAUCCUGGCUGUGCCACUUACAAGUAUGGCCUCAAGAAAGGCAUUUAAUCUCUUUGCCUCAGUUUUCCCAUCUGUAAAAUUGGGAUGAUAUACCUAUUUCACUGCAAUGUGAGAAUUGAACAAGUUGUUAUGUGGAAAGCUCUUACUGUGUGGUCCGUAAUGUGUUUAGUUAGGAUUGAUUGAAGAGAAGUGGAGUCUCCCCUUCAGUUCUUACCUGGGUAAAAUUGGACAAUUUCAUACUUUGUUGUCACGGUUUUUCUUUAGCUCUUGCUCUUUCUUAUCCAUUUCUGUAGCACUAGUGAUAAGGAGAAAAGACGUGAUUGCUAAUAGAGUAAUUCCUUGUUGAAUCUGAGUAAUCCUCCAGGUUGGAAGGGGCAAGAUAAAGCCUAAGAGAUCAAUUCAGUUUUCUUGCAACUUAAUUUUUUGUGGGAAAGGAGACAUGUUGAUAAUGGCUUGUAGUGUGACAUAGAACAUGCCAGACUCCAAAUCCAAACAGAGAUUAGAGA